GCACAGGCCUGCUAGCUCGCUCUGCCUUUUGUCUCCGUCUCUCCCACAAAUGUCACACAGCACACCACAACCUUUGAGGCCGCUCUUCCUUCUCUCACUUUUGUCACACACACACACGCAUGCACCUUUUGGCUUUUGGCUUUUGCUUUUUUUUCUCCCCUCGAUUUCUCAAGCUCCCUCUCACUCCCCCCGCAGUAUCUCAUGGAGCCUGGCAGCCUGCAUUCUCCCUGGCCUCUUCUCCUUCUUUCUUUCCUUUGGAUCACGGCUGCUAGCGAGUCGAAGAGGUUCUGAAAAAUGAAGGACACACAUGAGAUCGUGGCUGGUACAUGGAGCACAAGGCCGAAAUUAAUGAUGAACAGCCAAUGGGAUCGAUGCUGGGAGUAAAAGGAGGAAGGAAGGCUGCGGCUACAGAUGGAGAAAAAAGCUCAUGUGACGUCCGGACUCGGGACUGCGAGCUUCACCUAUAGAAGCAAAUUGCGUCAGUUCCGUUCGAGGUAUGGGCUGUGAUUCGGCUGUGUGACCUUGGUCACAGUGGCACCGUACGCUGAUUUCUUGCUUGAUUGGUUGGGGUCCGCGCUCCCUGUCAGUUUGUGUGGUACAUGCGAUACUGUAGUUUCUGGGAGCUUUCUGAUCCGGGUUUCCUUCGCAUUUGACGAGUUUUAGUUCAGUCCUAAGCAGGAAAACUGCAUGUUUCGCCUGGGGCUGUAGGGUUUCAUGCGUUGACCCUCAUCAGCUGAUUCGUCUUAAUUUAAGUGUACGAUAGAGAGCUUAUUACUUUGGUAGACCGCGGGCUAAUCCACCUUAAACUUCUGUAUGAAAUCAUAGUAGUAUGUUUCGAUCAUUAAUAUAUUAUGACAGGUCGUUUUUCCA